rnacentral:rRNA from 1 species
UCUACGGGAGGCAGCAGUGGGGAAUAUUGGACAAUGGGCGAAAGCCUGAUCCAGCCAUGCCGCGUGUGUGAAGAAGGCCUUCGGGUUGUAAAGCACUUUCAGUGGGGAAGAAAGCCUUGGGGCUAAUACCCUCGAGGAAGGACAUCACCCACAGAAGAAGCACCGGCUAACUCCGUGCCAGCAGCCGCGGUAAUACGGAGGGUGCGAGCGUUAAUCGGAAUUCCUGGGCGUAAAGCGCGCGUAGGCGGUCUGAUAAGCCGGUUGUGAAAGCCCCGGGCUCAACCUGGGAACGGCAUCCGGAACUGUCAGGCUAGAGUGCAGGAGAGGAAGGUAGAAUUCCCGGUGUAGCGGUGAAAUGCGUAGAGAUCGGGAGGAAUACCAGUGGCGAAGGCGGCCUUCUGGACUGACACUGACGCUGAGGUGCGAAAGCGUGGGUAGCAAACAGGAUUAGAUACCCUGGUAGUC